AUUUGAUGUUCAUUGGGAUGGAAAGAAGGCUUCUCUCUUUGUACAAUCGUAUCUCACAGAAGUCCUUUCUCAGUUAAAUAGAUUAUGGGCUGCUGUUACUAGAUACCAUCACCAGCUGCAAGGGUUCAUCAAACAUGAGAAAUGAGAAGUACUACAAGUUGGGGGCAGAGAGCUACGCUGGCCAAAAUAUAAUUAACAUCUGAGGGGAAUCUAAACGUGAAAAUCAGUAUGAGAAACUUGGAUAAGCUACAUGUUAACCAGACUGAAAGGAGAUUGGCACUUUCUUUAUUGAACCUUUGUGCCAAAAAGAUGUCCCGGAUGAGCCUGUCAAUGUGACUAAAGUUUGUAUCGCGAGGUUGAGAAACACAUGGUGUAACGUGUUAUUCCUCUCCCUCCAGAGAAGAUAGACGGUUUCUUGAGUGACCAGUUUCCUUUUUAACAUAGAAGAGCCCCCUCAUGCGGGGGAAAGAGCCAAGCGACCAAUUUGCUUUUAAAUUUGUUUAGUUAACAUUAUUAAUUCAUAUUUUGAAGAGACGAAUGAUAUAUUUUAUAAUUCCAUCAUAGCAUACUUGGAAAAAAAACUGCUAAAACAUAACAUUGUUUUAUUCCAUUUUCAAAAUUGAUCAAAUCAUCCAAACAGUACUCAAAGCAAAAAUGAGUUGUGCAGUUGUUGAUUUAAAGUUGUCAAACCUUUGAUUAACGAAGCAUUCACACCAUUAUAAUACUUUAUAUAGUUGCGUAAAAGUAUCUCGAUCUAAGGAUGCUAGAGCAUCUGCAUUAAAGGUUCAAUGCAAAGGUUCACACCUUUCUCCAAAAAAAAAAGUAUUAAAAUAUUCUUAUUUUUGUGAACUCAGCCCCUGCAGGUUUAUUGGGAUGAACCUGGUUCAUCACUGUAUCGCGGGCCUCACGCCAUGUGGCGGCUCGCGAUUGAUUCCCUUAUUUUUUUUUAUAUCAAACAAAAAAAAUAAAAAAAAAUAAAAAAAAAUUAAAGUUAUGAACCUCUUUCAAGGUUCAUUGAUGCAGAUGCUCUUAGAUCAUGAAUGAAGUAAAUAUACAAAAUAUUUACCAUUGUUAAAAAUU